AGUUAACUCUUCUCUUUUUUUCUGAUCCACCUUGUUCAAAUUCAUGCAACCUUGCCCACUCCCCCUCAAUUUCAGUCCAAAAUAUUCAAAAUGGUCGCCGCCUGGAUUGCUGGUGCUGAUGGAAUGGAAUUCUUAUCUCAGUGAUUUGGUAAUAUCUUCAACUUAAGGUUUCGUGUGUCAUGGGUGCUUGUGACAAUAGAGAUGAAAUUGUCCAUUUCAAGCCGUGUCUUACAAAACUAAGGAAAUUCUAUUUGCAAGUAGAAAACCUUUCUGACAAAACAUGGUUUUCCAGUCGUUGCUGGAUGGAUUGUUUUGAGGGUAGUUCCCAUGUCUAAAGACCAAUCCUAGCCUACACCUCACCAAGAGGAUUCUUUCGACAUAUGUGUGUUGAUCCCUUUGUAUGCAGAGAGUUCAACCUACAGACGGGCCGGCAAGUUUGCAUGUCCUUCACGCUUGAAGGUCGCGGGAAACAUAACGAGUAUUACUGUCAAUGCGGUGUUGUAGAGUUUGGGUGAGAAUUAAUUGGACGUGUUGCAUCAUUAUCAAGCAGACCCAUCCCCAGCAACGUCAACCUAAAGAAGGAAAGGCUAGUUUUCAUUUCCUUCACGCUCGAAGGUCACGGAGGAGAGGUUGGGUGAGGACGACACGUGUUACAUCAUUAUCAAUCAAUUAUGGCGUUGUGCUGCUGUUGGUUGUUGUCCUUAAAUACUACACCACCAAGACUACAAUUUAUGCUGCCCGAGCUGCAUCACCAAAGAGCCCUAACCCACCCCCAGCAACGUCAACCUGCAGAAGGAAAGGCCAGUUUGUAUGUCGUUCACUUUCGAAGGUCACGGAGAUCAUUACGUAAAACUGUCAAUGCGGUGGUGUAGAGGUUGGGUGAGAACGGGAAGUGUUUGCUUCAUUAUCAAGCAGGUAAAAUAGCCGCAAGGCUUAAGAGAGGGGUCAGGGUGAGAAAAAGUAGUAUAAAAGGAGAGAGAAAAGGCCAUAAAAAUCAGUUGAGUGAGCAUCUCUGACACGGAACCGCAUCAACUGCUGUACACUAUUUGUCACCAACUGCAUUCUCCAACGUAAUACCAGUUCGCAACCAACUGUUAACUAUGGCGUCGUGCUGCUGUUGGUUGUUGUAUCCUUGAUGGUUGGGUCGACCACUGGUGUACCGAUGUUUCGUGGGUAUGGUUGAUACCAAACCGCAACGCCGCCGUUUUACUACACAACAACAACGUGCGCAACAACCGGAUACUACACUACCAAGCCCACUGAGUAUUACACCACAACCUAUGAUGUCCCGAACUACUACACCGAAGCCUCAAAGUAUAAUUCUGCCUCGAGUUACACCACCAAGGCAGCGGAGUACUACACCACCAAGGCAGCGGAGUACUACACCACCAAGGCAGCGGAGUACUACACCACCAAGGCAGCGGAGUACUA